GGAUCUGAUUGAACUCGGUUUAAACGCUGACGACUCUCGGAGAUUAUAAAGCGACGGAGUCCAAAGUCCGACUUGGGAGUGGCAAAGAAUUCCCGGACUGAAAAAUCUGUUAGCGUUAUAUCACAGUUAACGGUAUAGAGAAUAAAAUAAAAUGAAACAAGUUUUCAUAAAGUGCAAUAUUGUGAAUGUAAGCGGCGGCACCACGACGGCGCACAAUUCAAAAAAAAACAAAGUUAAUAAAAAGAAGCGCAAGGGUCCAAAAAAACGCAAAACAGUACCACCACCUCCACCUCCACCACCACCACAACCAACACCUCCAACGAUAGAAACGGAGCGACGGGCUCGCCGCAAUGCGGAGGAGGAGGUCGAGCGUUUGAGGUUGCUUUUGCAAAAAACCACAACGGCGGCCUCCUCCUCCUGCACCGAGGACUGCGGCGGCGGAUCGGGUGGUCUACCGGGCCAAGGUAUGAAAUACACACGUACAAUAGAGGCAGAACUGAUAAAGAUUGAUUUUUCAAAAAAUCAAAUUGUUUAAUAAAAUAAUAUGGAAUAAAUUUUUCGUUCAAAGCUAAGGAUAUUUAUUUACGGUAAACCAAUAAUAGCUGAUUAAGUAGAGUACGCGAGAGUUUAUUAUUAAUUCUUAGUGCUGCGUUCUGCCUCUUGCAUUUAUUUAUCUCAUAUUGUUACAAUAGAUGCAUAACGAUAUGCGUGUUUUUUUUUUGUUUCAGAAUCGAAUUAAACAAUUAUUAUAUUUGUGAUUAAUAAUAUAUAUGAAAUUAAAAUAAACGUACAAUUAAAAACGUGUUGUUGAUUUAUUUUCAUGUUAUCAUAUAGAAUAAUAAUUACAGUGUUCGACGAUUGUGAAUGGGGGUAGUAAAAUGUCAAUUGAAUAACGGUAUAAUUAGAAAAAAAAGUUUCACAAAAGAUUAUACAAUAAUUAUGCAACAUAUUACAAUGGUUAACAGUUAAAUGGGUCCUUCUUUAAAAUAAGAUAAAUCAAAAAUGGUUAGAGUCCGUUUAAACCGUAUGAUAAAGGAACAGGUCGACAUGUACAGCACACGACUUUCGCUCGAC